rnacentral:misc_RNA from 1 species
UUAAAACGUUAGCUCUUCCUCCUUCCCUUCCGUCUCUGUGAUUUCCGACUAGCUUUCAGGCACAUCUAGCCGGAAUCUCGUCGGGAAACAAAGAACCAGUAAAGUCUCCACUUGUCAGUCUUUUAUACUCUUUUUUUUCCUCCAAGGAUUACUCAUUACCAUACAAAUCAAGUGGCGUAUUGUGUUGAACCUUAAAUCUCUCCCUGAAGGGGUUGUUUAAGUGGUUUUGGUGAAUUGGGGGGAAGAAUGUUAAAAAUGUGUAAGCCAGAGUACUCUGUUAAAGAGUGGGAGGUGAAAGUCAAGCUUUUUGGAGAUGGAAAGGUUGAGAAGUUGAAGAAAUCGAUGGUUUCAAGGUCUCCAAUGAAGCUAUGGAUUUUAAGGGCAAUCACAACAGCCCUGCUAUGGACAUGUGUAGUACAGUUGAUGGCAUUCGGAGAGAUGUGGAGGCCAAGAUUGUUGAAGGGUUGGCCUCCUUGUUUUAUUCGUCCUGAAGUCGAGCUACCUUCUGUUCCUGCCAAAGUUGUUCUUCCUCCAAAGAGAGUUUAUAAGAAUAAUGGGUAUCUUAUGGUUUCCUGCAAUGGUGGGCUCAACCAAAUGCGAGCAGCAGUGAGUUGAUCAAUAUUUUAACCACAACCAUCAUCAACCAUGAAAUUGCUUCGAUUCUCUGUGCUUUUAUCUUGUAUUCUAUCACGAUGUGAUUAAUUGUACUCUGGAUCUUAUCAUGCAGAUAUGUGACAUGAUUGCUAUUGCUAGAUAUCUAAAUGUGACUCUCAUUGUUCCAGAGUUGGAUAAAACCUCAUUCUGGAAUGAUCCCAGUGAGUUCCAAGACAUAUUUGAUGUUCAUCAUUUCAUCACUUCCUUGAGAGAUGAGGUUCGAAUAUUGAAAGAGCUACCGCCUAGGGUAAAACGUCGAGUUGAAUCAGGAAUAUUCUACUCAUUGCCACCAGUUAGUUGGUCAAACAUAUCUUACUACCUCCAUCAGAUUCUACCUUUGGUGCAAAAGUACAAAGUUGUACAUUUGAAUAAAACUGAUGCUCGUCUUGCUAAUAAUGGGCUACCCCUUGAGAUUCAAAAGUUGCGGUGCCGUGUAAAUUUUAAUGCUCUGAGAUUUACAUCACAGAUAGAGGAAUUGGGUAGACGGGUUGUUAGGAUUUUAAGGGAGAAAGGCCCCUUCCUGGUCCUUCAUCUCAGAUAUGAAAUGGAUAUGUUGGCUUUCUCUGGCUGCAUUCAAGGUUGCAACAGUGAAGAGGUUGAGGAACUGACAAGAAUGAGAUAUGCUUACCCCUGGUGGAAAGAAAAAGUUAUAAAUUCUGAAAUGAAAAGGAAAGAAGGUCUGUGUCCUUUGACACCUGAGGAAACUGCAUUUGUGUUGAGUGCACUGGGCAUUGAUCGUAAUGUUCAAAUUUAUAUUGCUGCUGGUGAAAUUUAUGGUGGAGAAAAAAGAAUGAAGAGUUUGGCAGCAACAUUCCCUAAUUUGGUUAGGAAAGAAACUCUGCUGGGACCAUCAGAUUUGAUGUUUUUCCAGAACCACUCAUCCCAGAUGGCAGCAUUGGAUUAUCUCGUCUCCCUGGAGGGUGACGUAUUUGUACCUACAUAUGAUGGCAAUAUGGCUAAAGUUGUUGAAGGCCAUCGCAGAUUUUUAGGAUUCAAGAAGACUAUUUCACUGGACAGAAAGCUUCUAGUUGGUUUAAUAGAUCAAUACAAAAAGGGAUCAUUGAGUUGGGAUGAGUUCUCUACCACUGUGAAGGAAGUUCAUGCUGAUCGGAUGGGAAGUCCAAAGACCAGAGUUGUCAUCGCAGAAAAACCAAAGGAAGAAGAUUAUUUCUAUGCCAAUCCACAUGAGUGUUUGCAACUGUUAGAUAAACCAUUGACUAGCACAUGGACCUAGUUGUCCCAACGAGAUGGUUAUCCUUAUACUCAGUGCCUACAUGUAUUUAUCAGAGGAAAAUGGCCUCAUUUUUUCACAUGGAGGCUUAAGUACAGAGUAUUCAUUUCUGUUUGUGAUCGGAGGAACGAGAGGCCUAAGCCUUGAUCUUCUCAAGCAGCAUCACUAAAAUAUUUAUGGCUAUUGAUUUUUGAAUAACCAGAAUGUUUAUAGGGUGGAAAAAUGUGCUCAUUGUCAAGGCCUAAUAUGCAAAGAAGGAUAAUAGAAAAUUUCCCCAGAUGGGGAGAGUUAGGAUUUUAUUGUGUAAUCCUUCUCCAUAUUUCCUUCACUGUUAUGAUUUUUUCAGCAUCAAAUGUAAUGAAAUAUUUACGCAUCUUUCUCUGUGCACGGUUGAAUAUAGGAUGUAAAAAACGUAAUUAUCAUCAUGUCUGUCGCAUGAUGGUAACCACAUGACAAAUCAUUCAGAAAC